rnacentral:tRNA from 1 species
CCUUCGAUAGCUCAGUUGGUAGAGCGGUGGACUGUAGUGAGUUUACAUUGUAGAAAUCCAUAGGUCGCUGGUUCAAAUCCGGCUCGAAGGA